AUGAGGACCAUCUCUAUAGAGACGCGAGUUUACACGAUCAAGCAGGGGAGCCAGGUAAUUACCACACACUGUCAAACACAGGGACCAGUGAUUCAAAUGCAGAGUGAAGUAUCAAAGAGGAGCGUUCCGUUCGCAGGCGGCCCCAGAUCUCCAGGAGACGCCCGCCACAGGGACAGCGCGAGGAUGUGACAGCACUUACAUUACAGCCCUGCGUGCCUCUCUACUGCUGCUGACCCCGAACUAUUGCUGGUGUACAACACAACCACGGAAACCAUUCAGAGUCGGGUUUAAAAUGCCAGUUUUACAGGAACAUUGAUUAUAAUACUGCUUGCGGUGAAAAAGUAUCCAUGCAGUUGCUACCUUAAUUUCUGCCUUAUUUAACCCAUCACUAGUUUUGUUGGUAUAAAUUCGUGAAAUUCGUGCGAAAAUUAACCAUGGUUUUAUUAUAGUAAAAGUGUAGUAACCAUGUUUAUUUUAUUUACUUAUUUUUGGGCGUAUUGAUUACAAUUUGCAUAACCACAUUUUUACUACAAAUACCAUGAUUAAACUAAGUUUGUAGCAAAAGCAUGGUUAAUAUGUGGUUAUAGUGGUUUAAAUCUGGUUUGUUGGUUUCCUUUGUAAUAAAACCAUGGUUCAUUUUUCGUAAGGGGUAUGU
ensembl:lncRNA